rnacentral:tRNA from 1 species
CCCUUGAUAGCUCAGUUGGAAGAGCGAGAGACUGUAAUGGGUGAAAUGAAACACAACUUCCAGAGUUGUGGUUCUGCAAAGAUCAUCUCUAGGUCACUGGUUCGAUCCCGGUUCAAGGGA